rnacentral:tRNA from 1 species
GGUCCCAUAGCUCAGGUGGUUAGAGCAACUGACUCAUAAUCAGUAGGUCCAAGGUUCGAGUCCUUGUGGGACCA